GGGGUGCCUCUGCCGCGGCUGAAAGGUUCCGGCUGGGCGCCGUUGAAGUAAAGGAGCCCGCGGGACAGAAACGUCCAAUGGCAUUUAUCCAAGGAUCUACAGUGUACCCAGCGUUCGCCAGGACGCCGAAAGUGAGGGGGAAUGAGAGGUGACUGCGUUCCCUGGAGCUCAACCAGGCAAGGCUGUAAUGAGAUACCCGAAGCAACGACAGAAGAACGGUUGAUGUAACUAGCGAACGGGCAAAUUCUAUAUAAACGAACUUUGUGGAUGUUGUGGGCAAUCAUAAAAAAAAAAAGCAAAGAUGGGCAUAAGUUGGCAGCAAAAAAAAAAAAAAAAAGGACUGAAGCUAGAUCCUCUUAAGUAGAUUUAAAACCAGUCAUCUCAGCUUCACUCUUAGUCCUGACUUUACCCUUUGGGCAGUAUUUUGUCCUCUGUGCCUCAGUUUUGUUAUAUGUAAAAUGGGGGUGGUGCUUACAGGAUUAUUGUUAAGAUUAAAUGAGUUAACACAUAUGAAAUACUUAGAACAGCAAAUGCUUACUAAAUGUUAACUAUUACUACUUUCCCCUAAAUUAUCUCACUUCCUUGAGCCCGUUAAGGUAGCUAGUGAUCCCAUUUGACCAAGUGCAGUAAUUGAGGCAAGAAAUUAGACAUGUUAAAGAAAAAACCACGAACCCAAAAACGUCACUAGAGCCGCAGAUAACCAAAUCUAGAUCUAAUACCUGACCUGAGUGCUGUCUCUGCCUUCCCCAUAAAGUCUUUAUCGGCUUAUCUGAAGUUUUCUGGUUAGCACCAACCAAGUUAUUCUCUCCUGGGCCCUCUCCACUCCUGUCUCCACCCUAAACUCCCCCUGAAGGAGCAAUCUGCAUGAUAAAACCCCUGCCACUUCCUUCCUCCCUGAAAGAAGGUUUCUUGGCCUAAAAAUAAUCUUUUCUUUUCUUCUGCUAAUAGCUCCCUUACCCCACCCUUCUUCCUAUAAGAAGCUUCUGAAAUGGCAACCCACUCCAGUACUCUUGUCUGGAAAAUCUCAGUGAUGGAGGAGCCUGAUGGGCUACAGUGCAUGGGGUUGCGAAGAGUAGGACACGACUGAGCGACUUCCCUUUCUUUCUGUUCUGUACCGUCUUCCGGAG
ensembl:lncRNA